rnacentral:lncRNA from 1 species
UGAUUGCUCCUCCUGUGAUGAGGCAGAGAGGCUGCUGCUGGGUCUAGAGCUGUUUUCUAGAGUUGCUACAGGUGGUGUAGACCUCUACAGCACUGAAGGAAGGCAGAGCUUUGAGGCAAUUGGAAGCCAUGAAUUCCACGAUCCAGUUCCUUCUCUGCAUCUAUAGGGAGUGGACUCUGAUUUAAAUGCUGUGAGCUGUUCCUGGACAUGUGGCAUGAUCUCCUCAAUAUCUUUUUUUUUAAAUUGAAAAUAGAUUCUUCUCCUAUA